rnacentral:lncRNA from 1 species
CAGUGGGCGUGUCUGCUGCUCUCAUCACUCUCACUGUGGCCAUUAUGAUCAGUAAGAACAUGCACAGAGUUGACGUGGAGUCUGUGGAAGUAGCAAACAAGGUACAGUAAUCACUGUGUGAUUAUUUUUUCAUUCAUCUCAAAAUGACUCAACAUAAGUUCUUCUUUAACCUGCUGCUAAAAUCACACUUAAUACAUAAAUUUAAAAUAUUUAAACAAUGAUCCAAAUUAAUACUUUAAAUGAGACAGUUGUCUGUGGUGUGUGAUUGUAAUUCUUUAGGUUCCCAUGUUUGUGUGUGUGUAUGUGUGUGUGCAUAUGUGUGACCCCCAGCGUCCGUCAUUGACGCUGACACCAUGUUCUAUGAGUCAACCCAACACACUGUCCCAGUGAGGAAAGGCAAAAUGUCUGACAUACCGGAAGAGCCUGAGGACAUGAGUGACAGCUCCCACCCCUCCAUCGUUCCUCUAAAGGAUGCUCCACCAAUCACAGAAGUUGAAACCUGCAACCCCGGCCCCAACCACUUCACCGUCCACUACACCAGGUUGUCCAGUGCAGACCAGGUGCAGGUCCACAGCCUGCCACGAGGUGGCGAUAGAAAACCAAAGGACUCCCCCAAAGUUGUUUACGCCUUACUGCCCCAGCCCGGCCCCUGAACUGAAGGAUACAGCUGCUGAACAAGACAUAAUCCGUCCUCCUGUGAACCAGUCACUUUGCUUCCAUCUGUGCAGAGACGGCUGUGGAAACCACAGACGGCUCCUUGUGAACUGUAGAUGACUUAUGCUGUUCUGGGUCAGACGUGUUGUUACGGGAUUCUCCACGGUUCUUCAGACCCUGAGGGCAACUCGAGGCCGGGGGUCCUGCCACUGUGUUGCAUGUCUUUUCUUCGUUUUUGUUUUGUUUGUUUUUUUUUGGGGGGGGAGGAGGGGUUCUCUGCUAUGAAUCUUACCACAAUAUUCUGUCUGAUGAAGUGAAAGUGUUCAAAAGCAGAAACAAGGAAUACUUUAUUGAUUCCCAGGGAGAAUGUGGUUUUGUUACAGUUGCUCCAAACAAAAAUAUGAACAUAUACAGACCCUAAAAUUAUAAUAAAUAGAAAUAUAGUAUAUAAAUAUGAAGUAUGUCAAAUUAUGUGCAUUAUCCUACAAUAUAUAUAUAUAUACACACAACAGCUUGUGGUAAUUGCUAUGCAAAUAUUAACAAGAAAUAACAAUAAACCGGUGUAGAUAAACAGUAAUAGGUCUGUAAGGGGCUAUUGACUCAGAGUGUCUGACAGUCUGAGGGAGGAGUCUGAUGACCACAGGCAUGUGGCGCAAGGUGGCGCCUAUCAGUGGAAUACUGUAAGUCUCUUGCUUACUGUACUCCUGUGCUUAGCCAGCAUGUCCUGGAGUGAGUGGGAGACAUUGUCCAAAGAUAGCCUGUGACUUGGACGGCAUGUUGAAUCCGUCGGUGUCUGCUACCCUCAACCCCCCGCUUCCCCAUAGCACAUAACAGCCAUGUGGCCCACCACAGACUCAUCAUCGUCCGGCAGAUGUUGAAGGAUCUCAGCCUCCACAGAAAAUUAGGGACCGCUCUGGCCCUUCUUGUAGACGGCUUCGGUGAUCUUGGUCCACAGAGGCCCCCCCUGGAUGGAGACAGGGCUCGCCAGGUCCUUGGUUUCUCCUCCGAAUCCACAACCCAGCUCCCUGUGUCACAUUGAGCUGCCGAUGGUUCCGCUCACACUGUAACAAGCUGCAUGCGCGGUCAAUGCAUGAAAGGAAAGGCUAAAUAGGGAGCAUCAACACCAAUAGCCAUUUUACCUGCAUUCAUAUCCAUAUUUAAAUAAUGCUUCACACUAACAUUUGCUCUCAAGAAUAUGUAGAUGGCACAAUGUGCGUUAACCUUUGCAACCUCCGACUACUGGAAAGUGAUAAUCUUUUGUAUUCAAACAUCAUUGUCCCCAAUAAAAGUGACAGGGUGUUAUUGAACACAAUAGCGGAGAAAAGCAGACGUCAACAAAGAAUAUGCAAUAUUUGACAUGAGUUUCCCCACUGUAUUCUACAAUGUUCCACGUAGGCUUGUUCUGAACGCCAAUGCUGCAACACUUAUUCAGUUUACACAGCUCGCUUUCAUUAAAUCAGUCGUUCCAUUUUUACUGUACGUAGUGUACGCUACGCCGGGAACGCUUCAAAAUUACACAUUGUAGUUUGUUACCCUAAAGCAAAAUAAAAGAAAAUGUCACAACUUGAAUGUGUGUUGUAGUUUUUCUGCGGGUCCCAAACAGUUAACACUGAGGACAGAUUAGUGAUGCGUUAAGUGUGGGGGGACUGUCAGCAGAAUAGUUAAGGGGAAACAGUGUUUGCGCUUCAGUGCAUUUUAUUUUGAAUUUCCUAUGAGAGCAGAACAAAAUGUUUCAGUCCCCCUCCCCCCUCCAAACCUCGAAAG